UUCGGACCGCAGCCGCAAAGGCAAACGCUCGGUCUAUAUAUACUAUGUCUAUGGCUUAUUCUCUUGUCUCGAUCGAACAAAAUAAUUUGGUUAUCUUGUGAUUUAUUGUCUAUUCAAUAAUGGCUUUGCAUAAUUUUGGUGGUAUUACAUUUAUGUUGCUGUUUAUACAUCUAAAUGUAAUGAUCGCUACAGAUUAUGAUAAAGGUAGAAGAGAUCCAUAUGGUCCAUACCCUAGGAUACCUGAUAAGGAGUUGGUCAAGAAAGAGAUAGCUUUUGCGGAAAAAUGCAAGAAAUUUAUGAAAUCGCCUAAACAAACCUUUAUUAUUCAUUAAUGUAAUUGUUGUGCAAUGAAUGUAUAAUGGAUAUACAUAUACAAUGUACAUCUUUCCAGCAAGGAAAAAAUGUAGUAAUAAAUGAAUGUUAUAGUAAUUUAUA